rnacentral:sRNA from 1 species
AUAAAUACUAGAGUUAGGGAAUAAAAGAGGGUUUGGGGAUAGAGGGACUUGAACCCUGACUUAGAAAGUCGACGGAUUUUCCUUUUACCAGAAAUUUCAUUGUUGUCAGUAUUGACAUGUAGAAUGGGACUCUCUCUUUAUCCUCGUCCGAUUAAUCCGCUUUUAAAAAGAUUUCAAAAACUAUGAUUUGAAGGAUUUGAUUACUCAAUAUUCGAUUGGAAUGGAUUUUAUAACACCAACUAAAAA